rnacentral:rRNA from 1 species
ACAUGCAAGUCGAGCGGCAGCACAGAGGAACUUGUUCCUUGGGUGGCGAGCGGCGGACGGGUGAGUAAUGCCUGGGAAAUUGCCCGGUAGAGGGGGAUAACCAUUGGAAACGAUGGCUAAUACCGCAUAACCUCGUAAGAGCAAAGAAGGGGACCUUCGGGCCUUGCGCUACCGGAUAUGCCCUUGUGGGAUUAACUAAUUGGUGAAGUAAGGGCUCACCCAGGCGACAAUCCCUAGGUGGUGUGAGUUGAAGAUUCAUUUCACUGGAACUCAUACGCUGGCCAGACUCCUACGGGAGGCAGCAGUGGGGAAUAUUGCACAAUGGGCGCAAGCCUGAUGCAGCCAUGCCGCGUGUAUGAAGAAGGCCUUCGGGUUGUAAAGUACUUUCAGUAGGGAGGAAGGUGGUUAAGUUAAUACCUUGAAUCUUUUG